rnacentral:rRNA from 1 species
GGAUUGUAGUCUGCAACUCGACUACAUGAAGCUGGAAUCGCUAGUAAUCGCGAAUCAGAAUGUCGCGGUGAAUACGUUCCCGGGUCUUGUACACACCGCCCGUCACACCAUGGGAGUCGGAUAUGCCCGAAGUCAGUGACCCAACCAUAUGGAGGGAGCUGCCGAAGGUGGAGCCGAUAACUGGGGUGAAGUCGUAACAAGGUAAC